AUUGAACGCUGGCGGCAGGCCUAACACAUGCAAGUCGAGCGAGCGGCGGACGGGUGAGUAAUGUCUGGGAAACUGCCUGCUGGAGGGGGAUAACUACUGGAAACGGUAGCUAAUCCCCCAUCCCAUCAGAUGUGCCCAGGUGGGGUUGGCUGGUGGGUGGGGUAACGGCUCACCUAGCCGACGAUCCCUAGCUGGUCUGGGAGGAUGACCAGUCACACGUGAACUGAGACACGGUCCAGACUCCUACGGGAGGCAGCAGUGGGGAAUAUUGAACAAUGGGCGCAAGCCUGAUGCAGCCAUGCCGCGUGUGUGAAGAAGGCCUUCGGGUUGUAAAGCACGUUAAGCGGGGAGGCGUUACCCGCAGAAGAAGCACCGGCUAACUCCGUGCCAGCAGCCGCGGUAAUUC
rnacentral:rRNA from 1 species